AUUGGACGCUGGCGGCAUGCUUUACACAUGCGAGUCGAACGGCAGCGCGGGCUUCGGCCUGGCGGCGAGUGGCGAACGGGUGAGUAAUACAUCGGAACGUGCCCAGUAGUGGGGGAUAGCUCGGCGAAAGCCGGAUUAAUACCGCAUACGACCUGAGGGUGAAAGCGGGGGAUCUUCGGACCUCGCGCUAUUGGAGCGGCCGAUGGCAGAUUAGCUAGUUGGUGGGGUAAAGGCCUACCAAGGCGACGAUCUGUAGCUGGUCUGAGAGGACGACCAGCCACACUGGGACUGAGACACGGCCCAGACUCCUACGGGAGGCAGCAGUGGGGAAUUUUGGACAAUGGGCGAAAGCCUGAUCCAGCAAUGCCGCGUGUGUGAUGAAGGCCUUCGGGUUGUAAAGCACUUUUGGCGGGAACGAAAAGGACUGUGCCAAUACCACGGUUCGAUGACGGUACCCGCAGAAUAAGCACCGGCUAACUACGUG
rnacentral:rRNA from 1 species